rnacentral:rRNA from 1 species
GACGAACGCUGGCGGCGUGCUUAACACAUGCAAGUCGAACGGAAAGGCCCUGCUUUUGUGGGGUGCUCGAGUGGCGAACGGGUGAGUAACACGUGAGUAACCUGCCCUUGACUUUGGGAUAACUUCAGGAAACUGGGGCUAAUACCGGAUAGGAGCUCCUGCUGCAUGGUGGGGGUUGGAAAGUUUCGGCGGUUGGGGAUGGACUCGCGGCUUAUCAGCUUGUUGGUGGGGUAGGGGCUUACCAAGGCUUUGACGGGUAGCCGGCCUGAGGGGGUGACCGGCCACAUUGGGACUGGGAUACGGCACAGACUCCUACGGGAGGCAGCAGUGGGGAAUAUUGCACAAUGGGCGGAAGCCUGAUGCAGCAACGCCGCGUGCGGGAUGACGGCCUUCGGGUUGUAAACCGCUUUCGCCUGUGACGAAGCGUGAGUGACGGUAAUGGGUAAAGAAGCACCGGCUAACUACGUG